AGCUAAUAGAUACCCCGGUAGUCCACGCCCUAAACGAUGUCAACUAGGUGUUGGAGGAGCAAUCCUUUGGUACCGCAGCUAAACGCGUGAAGUUGACCGCCUGGGGAGUACGGUCGCAAGAUUAAAACUACAAAGGAAUUGACGGGGACCCGGCACAAGCGGUGGAUGAUGUGGAUUAAAUUCGAUGCAACGCGAACAACCUUACCUACCCUUGACAUGUCUGGAAUCCUGCUGAAAGGCGGGAGUGCCCGAAAGGGAACCGGAACACAGGUGCUGCAUGGCUGUCGUCAGCUCGUGUCGUGAGAUGUUGGGUUAAGUCCCGCAACGAGCGCAACCCUUGUCCUUAGUUGCUACGCAAGGGCACUCUAAGGAGACUGCCGGUGACAACCGGAGGAAGGUGGGGAUGACGUCAAGUCCUCAUGGCCCUUAUGGGUAGGGCUUCACACGUCAUACAAUGGUCGGUACAGAGGGUUGCCAACCCGCGAGGGGGAGCCAAUCCCAGAAAGCCGAUCGUAGUCCGGGAUCGCAGUCUGCAACUCGACUGCGU
rnacentral:rRNA from 1 species